rnacentral:tRNA from 1 species
GUGGAGGUAGAGUGGUUGAAUGUACCGCACUCGAAAUGCGGCAUCCUGUAAGGUUAUCGUGGGUUCAAAUCCCACUUUCUCCGCCA